GAUGAACGCUGGCGGCGUGCCUAAUACAUGCAAGUCGAGCGAACGGACGAGAAGCUUGCUCCUCUGAUGUUAGCGGCGGACGGGUGAGUAACACGUGGAUAACCCACCUAUAAGACUGGGAUAACUUCGGGAAACCGGAGCAAAUACCGGAUAAGAUUCUGAUCCGCAUGGUUCAUAAGUGAAAGACGGUCGUGCUGGCACUUAUAGAUGGAUCCGCGCUGCAUGAGCUAGUAGUUAAGGUAAUGGCUUACCAAGGCAACGAUGCAUAGGCGACUGGUGAGGGUGAUCGGCCACACGGGAGCUGGGACACGGUCCAGACUCCUACGGGAGGCAGCAGUAGGGUAUCUUCCGCAGUGGGCGAAAACCUGACGGAGCGGCGCCGCGUGAGUGAUGACGGUCUUCGGAUCGUAAAACUCUGUUAUUAGGUAAGAACAUAUGUGUAAGUAACUGUGCACAGCCUGACGGUACCUAAUCAGAAAGCCACGGCUAACUACGUG
rnacentral:rRNA from 1 species